GGUCCAAUUGCGGAGUGGCCCGCGCCUGCAGUACAUGUGUUGCCACAGUUCGAGCUGAUUGCACGUGCAGGAUACGCCCGUUCGAUUCGGGCUUGGACCA